UACGUAGGGUGCGAGCGUUAAUCGGAAUUACUGGGCGUAAAGCGUGCGCAGGCGGUCUUGCAAGACAGAUGUGAAAUCCCCGGGCUUAACCUGGGAACUGCAUUUGUGACUGCAAGGCUAGAGUACGGUAGAGGGGGAUGGAAUUCCGCGUGUAGCAGUGAAAUGCGUAGAUAUGCGGAGGAACACCGAUGGCGAAGGCAAUCCCCUGGACCUGUACUGACGCUCAUGCACGAAAGCGUGGGGAGCAAACAGG
rnacentral:rRNA from 1 species